rnacentral:rRNA from 1 species
UGCCAGCCGCCGCGGUAAUACGUAGGGGGCAAGCGUUAUCCGGAUUUACUGGGUGUAAAGGGAGCGUAGACGGCACUGCAAGUCUGGAGUGAAAGCCCGGGGCUCAACCCCGGGACUGCUUUGGAAACUGUGGUGCUAGAGUGCAGGAGAGGUAAGUGGAAUUCCUAGUGUAGCGGUGAAAUGCGUAGAUAUUAGGAGGAACACCAGUGGCGAAGGCGGCUUACUGGACUGUAACUGACGUUGAGGCUCGAAAGCGUGGGGAGCAAACAGGAUUAGAUA